GUAGGUGAACCUGCGGAAGGAUCAUUAAUGAGUUAGGGUCUUCUAGGCCCGAUCUCCAACCCUUUGUAUAACUACCAUGUUGCUUUGGCGGGCCCGUCUUUAACCGGACCGCCGGGGGUUUGUAACCUCUGGCCAGUGCUCGUCAGUAGCCUACACAAAACUCUUUUAACCAUGUUAAAUCUGAAACUAGUUAAAUAAACUAAAACUUUCAACAACGGAUCUCUUGGUUCUG
rnacentral:misc_RNA from 1 species